UACGGAGGGGGCUAGCGUUGUUCGGAAUUACUGGGCGUAAAGCGCACGUAGGCGGCUUUGUAAGUUAGAGGUGAAAGCCCGGGGCUCAACCCCGGAAUUGCCUUUAAGACUGCAUCGCUAGAAUUGUGGAGAGGUAAGUGGAAUUCCGAGUGUAGAGGUGAAAUUCGUAGAUAUUGGGAAGAACACCAGUGGCGAAGGCGGCUCACUGGGUCAUUACUGACGCUGAGGCACGAAAGCGUGGGGAGCAAACAGG
rnacentral:rRNA from 1 species